GACGAACGCUGGCGGCGUGCCUAAUACAUGCAAGUCGAACGCAGUGGGGACGGGUGAGUAACACGUGGGUAACCUCCCAUCAGAGGGGAUAACACUUGGAAACAGGUGCUAAACCGCUACUGAUGGAUGGGCCCGCUGUGCAUUAGCUAGUUGGUGAGGUAACGGCUCACCAAGGCCACGAUGCAUAGCCGACCUGAGAGGGUUAUAGGGCACACUUGGACUGAGACACGGCCCAGAAUCCUACGGGAGGCAGCAGUAGGGGAUCUUCGGCAAUGGGCGAAAGUCUUAACGAGCAACGCCGCGUGAGUGAAGAAGGUUUUCGGAGCGUAAAACUCUGUUGUUAGAGAAGCGGUAUCUAACCAGAAAGCCACGGCUAACUACGUGCCAGCACCGCCGGUAAUUC
rnacentral:rRNA from 1 species